GACGAACGCUGGCGGUGUGCUUAACACAUGCAAGUCGUACGGUAAGGCCCUUUCGGGGGUACACGAGUGGCGAACGGGUGAGUAACACGUGAGUAACCUGCCCACAACUUUGGGAUAACGCUAGGAAACUGGUGCUAAUACUGGAUAUGUGCUCCUGCUGCAUGGUGGGGGUUGGAAAGCUCCGGCGGUUGUGGAUGGACUCGCGGCCUAUCAGCUUGUUGGUGGGGUAGUGGCCUACCAAGGCGGCGACGGGUAGCCGGCCUGAGAGGGUGACCGGCCACAUUGGGACUGAGAUACGGCCCAGACUCCUACGGGAGGCAGCAGUGGGGAAUAUUGCACAAUGGGCGCAAGCCUGAUGCAGCAACGCCGCGUGCGGGAUGACGGCCUUCGGGUUGUAAACCGCUUUCAGCAGGGACGAAGCUUUUUGUGACGGUACCUGCAGAAGAAGCACCGGCUAACUACGUG
rnacentral:rRNA from 1 species